GGGGUGGAGAAGUGGGGGGGGGUGUUGCUAGGAGAACUUGAAACCAGCUGAAACAAAAUCGGAAUUUGAGGGAAUAUUUCCUGUAUGAUCUGUAUCUCUGGUUCUCUUUAUGAUCUGGGAGGGAAGGGUAUACUUCUCUAUCUUCUCCAACUCCUUACAAACUCAUCCCAUCUUUCAUCCCAUCUUUCAUCCCAUCCAACCCUCUCAUCAGACCCGUUCUUGCAUCUUCAUGAGAAUACUGUACCAGCUAGAACAUUCAGAUCUCAAGGAUAAACGUGUCCCUUGCCAACCUCAUCCUCUGAAUCCGUCCUUGGCCAACCUCAUCCUCUAUAGCCAUCCUUGCCAACCUCAUCCUCUGUAUCCGUCCUUGCCAACCUUAUCCUCUGAAUCCGUCCUUGUCCAACAUCAUCCUCUUCAGCCAUCCACCUCAUCCUCUGAAUUCGUCCUUGCCAACCUCAUCUUCUGUAUCCGCCCUUGCCAACCUCAUCCUCUGAAUUUGUCCUUCCCAACCUUAUCCACUGAAUUCGUCCUUUUGAACCUCUUUAUCCGUCCUCGCCAUCUUGAAUCCUCGUGAUUCUGAACUAUCCAAAAACUGCUAAAUAUCCGAUCUCAUCUUUGUUUGAUCCAAUAUCUCCUCAUCUCUCCCUUCAUCCCCCUUCCCUCCCCGAUUCUCCCUCUCCCUCCUUACACACACCCUCCCUCCUUUAGUACCUCUCCUCCCCCCACUUGAAGGAAGGGCAUUACAAUGAGUGUGUCUGUCUACAGGAAUGAACGGGUGAUAUAAAGGCAUUAUAAUUCCAAUGGUUUGGCUUGGAUUCCUCAGCUGACUGAUUAAUAUAUACUGGGAACCUGUUCAAACCGUGUUUAAUAUCUCCUGCUAGCAUUCAACAAACUACAGUUGGAGAUCUUAUAAUGUAAAUCUGUGCUUUCAGUAACCUUAGUUAAAUAAUCAAUAAAUUGUCACUUUUAUUCAAA